CAGUCGCCACGGUAACACGGAGGGUGCAAGCGUUAAUCGGAAUUACUGGGCGUAAAGCGCACGCAGGCGGUCUGUCAAGUCAGAUGUGAAAUCCCCGGGCUUAACCUGGGAACUGCAUUUGAAACUGGCAGGCUAGAGUCUUGUAGAGGGGGGUAGAAUUCCAGGUGUAGCGGUGAAAUGCGUAGAGAUCUGGAGGAAUACCGGUGGCGAAGGCGGCCCCCUGGACAAAGACUGACGCUCAGGUGCGAAAGCGUGGGGAGCAAACAGGAUUAGAUACCCCAGUAGUCCCUGUCUCUUAUAC
rnacentral:rRNA from 1 species